rnacentral:lncRNA from 1 species
AAUAAGAUAAGGAUGCAAUUAAUAGUGACAUGUUUGACAAAGAUCGAAUUUGAGACGGAACCGAUCCUCUCCCAUUAAAAACAUUAUUCAAUCUAACGUGAAACAAACACACAAUCUUCUGAGAUGGCCGAAGCAGGAGACAAUGACGAGAGAAAGUUACCGAUAGAACUACCACCGAAAGACUCGGAAAGGUUGCGAGAGGAAAACCAUGAAAAAAGCUAGGAGCGGGACCAAGCCCGCACUGAGUUAAAGAAGUCGUAGCGACACAAACAAUUCAGCACGUCAUACCUACACUCGGAGCGGACACAACAGCUCGCGUCGAAGCUCUCAGAGAUCUACCGGCCUGUAGAUUUGGUGAAUAUAUACUUGUUGCAUCAAGUUGUGCAAGCAUUCAACAUGAUGAAGUUAGCGGGCAAGUAUAUAUUCAUGCACCAAAUGGUAGGCCGUAGGCGGGGGAAUUAAUGGGAGUUCGGUUUUAAUUUGUUGAAAAGAUAAUGGAUGGAGGGCAAAUAAAAACUGGGGGACCAAAGAACAACUAUGAUUAAUUUUGGACUCAUUAAUUUUUUUUCUUUUUCUUUCAAUCA